GGCCUCCAUCUUGAAAACGGAAAAUAAAAACAGCAGACCUAUGAAGGUCGAAGGGGAAGAAAAGCUGUAUCGAUUGUUGAGAUCUGGCGACUUGUUUAAAUUUCAUCAGCCUCACUUCUAUGAACUCUCAGGACAAACUGCAACAGAGUCACAUCGAGUUGAGACUUCUCCAAGGGCCAUGGGGUUGACAUCUGUAUUCUCAGGCCUCACGUGUACCAGCUCUCUGCUCUCCUUUGCCUUGGGACGUUCCAUCCCUGGAAGUUUCCCUGCCCACAUCUUUGUAGAGAGUCCAUUCUCCAAGCUUCAGUGUGUCAUCUGUGAGGACCGUGACCCACCUGGUACAUCGCCUCAGGGCAUUCAUUUCAGGCUCCUUCUAAAUGGCCAAGAGACAACACCAACAUUUUUGUAAUGGCCUGCAAGGCCUUCCGAGAUCUACCUCCUGCAACUCAGCUUCUCCUGUGCUCUCCUUCUGGACUCACUCUGCCUCAGCAACACUGGUCCCUGUUGCCCCACCAAUAUGCCAGGUAAACCUCAGGUUCUCCUCCUGCCUUUUGCUAAGUAUAUGUCUUGAUGACAAGCCUUCUGCUGAUGAGCUGUGUUUCUGGACCGAUCAUGGUAGAAGUCAAUUAACGUGUCCCUCACUUGGGGUUUCUCAAGGGUAUGUUACCACAAAGACUCUCAUACACCCUUUUUUCUGAUCUCCCUUUCCCAUUCUACACUUGUGUGCUGAAUCUGUUUAGCAUUAUAGUUAGUACACUUACACGUCCACUAAAAAGUGGAAAUUAAUUUAAUUACCAAUGAAGUAACAAGAAUUUAGUUUGGCAAUGGAUUUCUUCUAUAAUCCAAAGCCAAGUUACCUUUCCACUCAUGGUUCUAAAGAUUACUCAACUGUGUAAAUCAUCUGUGCCACAUGGAAUAACUCAAAGUAAGUUCUUUCACCCCCUACUCAUUCUAAGUACACCAAAUAAAACUCUGCCUCUUUUGGAGAGUUCAUACACUGUUCAGAGAAGGCUGUGAGGUAUUUAUGAUAUCUAAUCCAGAAGGAACUCAAGUGAUGUUUGUUUUAGAAAUAGAAAGCAAAGAAUGAUUAUGCUGCAAAUAUUAUCAUGAAGACAUUUAUAAAUAUAUUACAAAUGCAUGUUUCCCGCCAAAUAAUUGACAAAACACUAUUACUUGCCUUAAAAAUAAUGCACAAUUAAUGAAUGCAAGAAAUUAAACCUCCGUACCAUGAUUUUUAUAUUCAAAUAAUUUGCUUUUACCUGAAAAUGAACAUAUUUGAUGAAUUACUGUAGAGGUGAUGGAAUCACUGUAUAAACUUACUGCAAAAAGAA
rnacentral:lncRNA from 1 species